UGUGCCCGGCGCUGGUACCGGGCGGGGGCGCGCCCCAGGCCCUCGCCGGAUGGAGCCGCCGGGCGCUCCCCUAGGCCGGCCGGGCGCGAGCUGCCCUGCGGGGCUCCCCUUGUUGUCCUACGCAGGGGCAGCUCCGGCCGGAGACGCGGCUGCUGCUGCUGCUACUGCCGCCUGCUCCUCCCCCUGCCGCUGAGCGGAAAGGGCGGAGAGAGCCCGCCCUGAGGCGCGCCGGGGCCAGGAGGCGCCUGCCCCGAGCGGGAGCGGUUACCUGCGCGGCGGGGAACGUCCCCUGUCCGGAGCAAGGGCCGGGAGCGCGGCACCACCGUGAGGAAACGGGUCAGUUUGGUCAAGCCAAGCCACAGUGUUCUUAUCAACAAUGUUCAAGGCACAAAGGCCUCCAGGAAGCUGUCAUUUUGCAGUCCUCAACAAUAUGUCAUGGUUUGUGGCUGCCCACAUAGACAUAGUGGACUAUCUCUAAAAUGCCACCGAAAUUCUGCUGCAGCACAAAUUCCUGCUGGUUCAGAAGGCUUCAUUGCCUUUGCGUAAAUCAAACCUGGGUUGACAUUGAGUGGGAUUCGAGACAAGGUAAUAAUUUGUCACUUAAUUUGCGAACCAUGAAACCCAUUUUGUGUCCUCUACCAUAAAUCCCUCACUCAGUAAAUCCACAGUGGGCGAUGUGAGGGCAGACGACCAUGUGAUGGAUUAAACAAGUCUUUAAUUAACGGAAGAUAUGGCAUAUCACGCAAUUUUGUCAUGAGCUGUGCAACACUUCCUGAGAACACUGGGCAGAGCAAUAUUGCAGAGAACUGGUAACCAAGGUAGAGGAGAUUUAAGCGUACCUAAGGAUACGCAUGGUGGAAUUAAGUUGUAGAUCAUCUUUGUAUGAGAUGAGCGAGCCCAUACUGGUGUGCAGUACUCCACUGCUGAAUAACAGAGUGCCAAGGCUGAAGCGAAUACUGUUUGGGCGUUGACGCCGCAUAUCGUUCUGGCCAGUUUUCUGAGCAGGUUGUUGUGCAUUUUGACCUUAGUCGUUGUCUUGUCUAAGAGGUGAAGAGGGAGGAUUAUGAGAUCAGUUUGCAAAUAUUUAUGAAGGGUAAACAAGAAGGAAAAAGAGGAACUAUUUAUGGUAGUAGAUGGCAGUAUAACCAAAGCGCCAUCUACUCCGUAGUAUGGCAGGUCAGAAAACAAAUCAGAAUAAAAUGUAGAUAAAAAAUGGGAAAACAUCUCACAAUGUUUUUUUCUUUUUUCCAGCCUCCCCUACUCUGCAACAAGCUAAACUUCAAUUCUGAAAUAGUAUGGCACAGCAAACUGGCAGUUUUACAAUAAUACAAUUUAAGUUUAAAAGUUUAAAGAUUUAGGGUGGGAUUGUCCCAGAAAAAGUGAAAAACUGAAAAUCAGUGGGAACUGAGGUCCAGAUCCUCUGAAAGAUCUGGGCCCAAGUACUUAACUUCCUUGGCCAGUUUUGAAAAAUCUCACCCUUAAUCUUCAAUAAAGAUUUAAAACUUCAAUUUAAGUAUACAUGUAUUAAAUCCAAAAAUUAAUAUAAAUAUAUGAAGUCAG